AUUGAACGCUGGCGGCAGGCCUAACACAUGCAAGUCGAACGAGAGGCGGACGGGUGAGUAAUGACUGGACAACUGCCUGAUCGAGGGGGAUAAAUACGGGCACAGGUCGCAACUAGCGCAUACCCACAUAUGUGCUCAGAUGGGAUUAGCUGGUUGGUGGGGUAACGGCUCACCAAGUCGACGAGCCCUAGCGGGUCUGAGAGGAUGACCAGCCACACUGGAACUGAGACACGGUCCAGACGCCUACGGGAGGCAGCAGUGGGGAAUAUUGCACAAUGGGCGCAAGCCUGAUGCAGCCAGGCCGCGUGUAUGAAGAAGGGCUUCGGGUUGUAAAGUACUUUCAGCGGGGAGGCGUUACCCGCAGAAGAAGCACCGGCUAACUCCGUGCCAGCAGCCGCGGUAAUAC
rnacentral:rRNA from 1 species